rnacentral:rRNA from 1 species
UCGCUCCUACCGAUUUCGAGUGGUCCGGUGAACCAUUUGGACCGAAGGCAACUUCGUGUAGCUUUUGGAAAAUCUAGUAAACCACAUCACUUAGAGGAAGGAG